rnacentral:misc_RNA from 1 species
GAUGAAGAACGCAGCGAAAUGCUAUAAGUAAUGUGAAUUGCAGAAUUCAGUGAAUCAUCGAAUCUUUGAACGCACAUUGCGCCCCCUGGUAUUCCGGGGGGCAUGCCUGUUCGAGCGUCAUUUCACCACUCAAGCCUCGCUUGGUAUUGGGCAACGCGGUCCGCCGCGUGCCUCAAAUCGACCGGCUGGGUCUUCUGUCCCCUAAGCGUUGUGGAAACUAUUCGCUAAAGGGUGUUCGGGAGGCUACGCCGUAAAACAACCCCAUUUCUAAGGUUGACCUCGGAUCAGGUAGGGAUACCCGCUGAACUUAAGCAUAUAAUAAGCGGAGGA